ensembl:lncRNA
AAGAGAUUAUAUUUAGAGCAAGUUCUCAGUCUGAAUUGAGAUUUCUAUGAAGUAACAUCUCUUUUCUCAUCAGCUCAGAGAGUGAGCACAUUCAGGUAGGAGCAUCGGUAGAUCAGCCCACUGAGGAGUAUAGCACCUCCAAGACUCACUCACCUCUCCCAGAGCCUCUUCUUCCAGUCAAGGUGAUAGGUGGGAAAAAGUGAGUUUGAGAAAUUUGCCCCAGAUUACUCCGCUGGAAGGUGGUGAAGAAUUCAAAGCCAGGACACCACGCCUGGCAUUUAACCAUCUGACGGUCUUGCAGCGCCCUAGCUCCUGGGGAGCCAUCCCGGGGACUUUCUGCCAGUUUCCACCUGGCUGCCACAUCCCACCUUGUAAGGCUCGCCCCAGCGUGGGAGGAAAGUGCGCCUCCCACCGGGAGGAAGACGGCUGGGACCUCUGUCUGGGGCGCCACCAGAUGGGUGGAGUUUUGAGGCUCUCGCCGGGAGGAGCCUAGCAGGUCCCAGGCGGCAGGUUCACACUGCUGACCAGUCCAAGGCGCGUUUACGCCUCGCAAAUCUUCUCACAAACGCCCGUUUAAUUUUCACCGCGGUCCUGCAAAACGGGUGAUUUUGCUUCCCAUUGUUCAGCGGAGGAAAAUGAGGCUUUGCCUUCUCGGUGGUCACAGGGUCCGCAGGUGGUGGAACUGUAGACGUCUGCCGCUUCCCCGUCCCAGAAAUAAUAAAAGCUGCCCUCAAC